rnacentral:tRNA from 1 species
GCGCCUGAAUGGAGGCUAAACUACGAAUCUGGGGGUCAGAGGUUCGAAUCCUUUCGGGCGCGCCA